rnacentral:rRNA from 1 species
CCUACGGGUGGCAGCAGUGAGGAAUAUUGGUCAAUGGCCGGAAGGCUGAACCAGCCAAGCCGCGUGAAGGACGAAGGUGCGAAGCAUUGUAAACUUCUUUUGUCAAGGGACAAAAUCAGGCGCGAGAGCCUGACCGAGGGUACGUGAAGAAAAAGCAUCGGCCAACUCCGUGCCAGCAGCCGCGGUAAUACGGAGGAAGCGAGCGUUAUCCGGAUUUCUUGGGUUGAAAGGGUGCGUAGGCGGACUGUUAAGGCAGCGGUAAAAGCCCGGGGCUCAACCCCGGCGAGCCGUUGAAACUGGCUGUCUUGAGAUGUCGAGAGGUAUGCGGCUUGCUCAGUGUAGCGGU